AGGGUUUGAUCAUGGCUCAGAACGUACGCUGGCGGCACGCCUAACACAUGCAAGUCGAACGCAGUAGCAAUACUGAGUGGCAAACGGGUGAGUAUAAUGUGGGAAUCUGCCUUUUGGUCUGGAAUAACACGGGGAAACUUGUGCUAAUACCGGAUAAGCCCUUACGGGGAAAGUUUUAAUGCCGAAAGAUGAGCCUGCACUUGAUUAGCUAGUUGGUAAGGUAAAAGCUUACCAAGGCAACGAUCAAUAGCUGUUCUUAGAGGAAGACCAGCCACAUUGGGACUGAGACACGGCCCAGACUCCUACGGGAGGCAGCAGUGGGGAAUCUUGCACAAUGGGGGAAACCCUGAUGCAGCGAUGCCGCGUGAGUGAAGAAGGCCCUUGGGUUGUAAAACUCUUUCGUCGGGGAAGAAAAUGACUGUACCCGAAUAAGAAGGUCCGGCUAACUUCGUGCCAGCCGCCGCGGUAAUAC
rnacentral:rRNA from 1 species